CCGGGCAAUAUUGGCUUGUUAUAAAAAUAAAUGGGACAAAUUCUGUCAUUUUUGUGGAAAAUUCUGUCAAUUUUGUGGGAAUAUGCUAUCUAAUAGGAAUUUUUCGUAAUCACUACUCCCCCCCCUCCGUCGACCACAAAUUUGAAAAGUUUCUCCUAAAAUUUUUUUUUUGACAACGCGGGCACAAUCCGAAAAAGUCGGGAAAAUUUCUUUCCACCCCCCCUAUUUUUUUCCUUCCCGUACGCCCAUAGUUAUUUGCCCUGUUGGUGUGAUGUACUCAGGUGAAUAAGAUGCUUGUGAUGUUUCACUGAGUGUAUAUCCACACCAAGCAGGCUUGAAAAAUAUGCCUGGUCACGGUGGGAAUCAAACCUACGACAUUUGGAAUACUAGCCCAAUGCUCUGCCAACUGAGCUACGCGGUCAGGUCGGUUCGAAUAUGUGAUAUUUAGGAACUGAGUCGAGUUCCUUUGAUAUCAGUGUAAUCUAAUAAUCAUGAUAUUUGCUCUGUUGUUGAUUGUUGUUUGCAAAUGUUGAUAGGCUUUGAACCGAUUUUCUUGAAAUUGCCGGUACGCGU